UACGAAGGGGGCUAGCGUUGCUCGGAAUUACUGGGCGUAAAGCGCACGUAGGCGGCUUUCUAAGUCGGAGGUGAAAUCCUGGAGCUCAACUCCAGAACUGCCUUCGAUACUGGAGAGCUUGAGUCCGGGAGAGGUGAGUGGAACUGCGAGUGUAGAGGUGAAAUUCGUAGAUAUUCGCAAGAACACCAGUGGCGAAGGCGGCUCACUGGCCCGGUACUGACGCUGAGGUGCGAAAGCGUGGGGAUCAAACAGG
rnacentral:rRNA from 1 species